rnacentral:rRNA from 1 species
UACGGGGGGGGCAAGCGUUGUUCGGAAUUACUGGGCGUAAAGGGCUCGUAGGUGGCCAACUAAGUCAGACGUGAAAUCCCUCGGCUUAACCGGGGAACUGCGUCUGAUACUGGAUGGCUUGAGAUUGGGAGAGGGAUGCGGAAUUCCAGGUGUAGCGGUGAAAUGCGUAGAUAUCUGGAGGAACACCGGUGGCGAAGGCGGCUAUCUGGACGGUUUCUGACACUAAGACUCGAAAGCGUGGGGAGCAAACAGG